GCUGGGCACAGUGGCACAUGCCUGUAAUCCCAGCAACCCAGGAGGCUGAGGCAGGAGGAUGGCAAGUUCAAGGUCAGCCCGGGCGAUUUAGAGAGACCCUGUCUCAA
rnacentral:sRNA from 1 species